GGGCGAUUAGCUCAAUUGGCAGAGCACCUCGUUUACACCGAGGGGGUUGGGGGUUCGAGUCCCUCAUCGCCCA
rnacentral:tRNA from 1 species